AGGGAAACGUGAUACAGAAAUCGAUGAUCUUCAAAGAGAACUUGACUGGAGAAGAAACAUCGUCUUCCCAGGGCUGGGAAGUUCUGCGCCACCUGUACAAGAAGUGAAUGUGACUCUGGAUCCAGAUACAGCUUAUCCCCACCUCGUC